CUAGCCCAAACAACAAUCAAUUGAGACCACUACACACGACAAUUAAUCCAAAACAUUUAGUCAUGAAAUUAAAGUAUAGGAGAUAGAAAUUUUUACUUGGAGCUAUAGAAAAAGUACCGUAAGGGAAUGAUGAAAGAUAUAAUUUAAAGUAAAAAACAGCAAAGAUUACCCCUUUUACCUUUUGCAUAAUGAAUUAGCUAGACAUGACUUAGCAAAGAGAACUUAAGUUAAUUACCCCGAAACCAGACGAGCUACCUAUGAACAAUCCACUUGGGGUGAACUCAUCUAUGUUGCAAAAUAGUGAGAAGAUUCCUAGGUAGAGGUGAAAAGCCUAACGAGCCUGGUGAUAGCUGGUUGCCCAGAAUAGAAUUUUAGUUCAAUUUUAAAUUUACCUAACAACUUUAAAAUUUUAAUGUAAAUUUAAAAUAUACUCUAAAAAGGUACAGCUUUUUAGACAGGGAUACAGCCUUACUUAGAGAGUAAAACAAUACAUAAGA
rnacentral:rRNA from 1 species